rnacentral:rRNA from 1 species
UGAAAUCUGGCUCUCGGGCCCGAGUUGUAAUUUGUAGAGGAUGCUUUUGAUGCGGUGCCUUCCGAGUUCCCUGGAACGGGACGCCAUAGAGGGUGAGAGCCCCGUCUGGUUGGAUGCCAAACCUCUGUAAAGCUCCUUCAACGAGUCGAGUAGUUUGGGAAUGCUGCUCUAAAUGGGAGGUAUAUGUCUUCUAAAGCUAAAUAUUGGCCAGAGACCGAUAGCGCACAAGUAGAGUGAUCGAAAGAUGAAAAGCACUUUGAAAAGAGGGUUAAACAGUACGUGAAAUUGUUGAAAGGGAAGCGUUUAUGACCAGACUUGGACUUGGUUAAUCAUCUGGGGUUCUCCCCAGUGCACUUUUCCAGUUCAGGCCAGCAUCAGUUUUCCCCGGGGGAUAAAGGCGGCGGGAAUGUGGCUCUCUUCGGGGAGUGUUAUAGCCCGCCGUGUAAUACCCUGGGGGGGACUGAGGUUCGCGCAUCUGCAAGGAU